GCAGUUGGUUUAACUAUCUCCUGGAAGUGCUUAUCGUUCUCAGCCGAUGUUUAAGCUGUGGGUGCCAAGAGUGCUUUGGAUCUUCUAUCUCCAGGUGCACAGCCUGGCUUUAUUCUGAAUGCAUGCCAGGAAUAAAACCCAUCCAGUGUAAAGGCAGCAGGUACUGAAGAGCAUGUUCCAGUUUAAUUUAUGAAGAUAUACCUAUCCUCAGUGUUCCUCAGACCUUCUCUGAAAAAUUGUGCUGGAACACAGAUAAGGUUUCCAAGAUGUUUUUUUUAACUGGGACCAUUGCUCUAGCAUCUAAUGAAGCUGAGCCAAAAUGUUGCAGUAAAAUGUAAGCACUUCUCACAGAAGAAAACAAUAGGAAAGGAAAUUUUAACCUGAAAAUUGAAGUUUUGAGGCUUCUCCUGACAAACUUGCUACCUGCAUGCCUAAACAAAGCCAUAGAGCUAUAGAGACAUGAGUUAACAUGACUAUGACAUGUUCUGUUCCCAGAGAGGAUUUACCCUUUUAUGGGUAGAGAUAAUGUAGAAUGCCUUAGGA